rnacentral:rRNA from 1 species
CCACGGUGCUGAAGCAACAAAUGCCCUGCUUCCAGGAAAAGCCUCUAAGCAUCAGGUAACAUCAAAUCGUACCCCAAACCGACACAGGUGGUCAGGUAGAGAAUACCAAGGCGCUUGAGAGAACUCGGGUGAAGGAACUAGGCAAAAUGGUGCCGUAACUUCGGGAGAAGGCACGCUGACACGUAGGUGAAGUGAUUUACUCAUGGAGCUGAAGUCAGUCGAAGAUACCAGCUGGCUGCAACUGUUUAUUAAAAACACAGCACUGUGCAAACACGAAAGUGGACGUAUACGGUGUGACGCCUGCCCGGUGCCGGAAGGUUAAUUGAUGGGGUCAGCGCAAGCGAAGCUCCUGAUCGAAGCCCCGGUAAACGGCGGCCGUAACUAUAACGGUCCUAAGGUAGCGAAAUUCCUUGUCGGGUAAGUUCCGACCUGCACGAAUGGCGUAAUGAUGGCCAGGCUGUCUCCACCCGAGACUCAGUGAAAUUGAACUCGCUGUGAAGAUGCAGUGUACCCGCGGCAAGACGGAAAGACCCCGUGAACCUUUACUAUAGCUUGACACUGAACAUUGAGCCUUGAUGUGUAGGAUAGGUGGGAGGCUUUGAAGCGUGGACGCCAGUCUGCGUGGAGCCGACCUUGAAAUACCACCCUUUAAUGUUUGAUGUUCUAACGUGGACCCGUAAUCCGGGUUGCGGACAGUGUCUGGUGGGUAGUUUGACUGGGGCGGUCUCCUCCUAAAGAGUAACGGAGGAGCACGAAGGUUGGCUAAUCCUGGUCGGACAUCAGGAGGUUAGUGCAAUGGCAUAAGCCAGCUUGACUGCGAGCGUGACGGCGCGAGCAGGUGCGAAAGCAGGUCAUAGUGAUCCGGUGGUUCUGAAUGGAAGGGCCAUCGCUCAACGGAUAAAAGGUACUCCGGGGAUAACAGGCUGAUACCGCCCAAGAGUUCAUAUCGACGGCGGUGUUUGGCACCUCGAUGUCGGCUCAUCACAUCCUGGGGCUGAAGUAGGUCCCAAGGGUAUGGCUGUUCGCCAUUUAAAGUGGUACGCGAGCUGGGUUUAGAACGUCGUGAGACAGUUCGGUCCCUAUCUGCCGUGGGCGCUGGAAGACUGAGGGGGGCUGCUCCUAGUACGAGAGGACCGGAGUGGACGCAUCACUGGUGUUCGGGUUGUCAUGCCAAUGGCACUGCCCGGUAGCUAAAUGCGGAAAAGAUAAGUGCUGAAAGCAUCUAAGCACGAAACUUGCCCCGAGAUGAGUCUUCCCUGAGACUUUGAGUCUCCUGAAGGAACGUUAAAGACGAUGACGUUGAUAGGCCGGGUGUGUAAGCGCAGCGAUGCGUUGAGCUAACCGGUACUAAUGAACCGUGAGGCUUAACCUUACAACGCCGAAGGUGUUU